rnacentral:lncRNA from 1 species
ACCCAAAAGCUAGUUCAACUAGUAGAGUUUGUCAGCAUCUUUAGUCACAUGGAGGCCUCACGAAGAAUUCUUACGUGGCCAGUCAGAUAUUUGUUGUCACAUACUACCCCUUUUUAUAUCUUUUUCGUUUUCAUCCUACACUAUAACUAUUACUAAAAUAAAUAAAAAUGACUUUUUUCCCCUUCAAAGAUUUGAUUGAUUGUUUUUACUUCGCCUCUAGUAACUUUGCCUUUUCUAUUUAUUUUUCCUCCUUAGAUUCUACGAAAUGAUAUAUUUUUAGCAUUAUCCAAAUUAACCCCACACAUGAAAAUUUUGAACAUCCGAAUAUAUUAUCUAUUUGGUCUUAUUAUUUAGGACCAAUGAGCUAGCCUUUUUGCCAUUGACUUGCUAGUGGUAAGUGCUCUAAUCUUUCAGGUUCUCCAUCUAUCCAUGACUUCCAAGCAUUAAAAGAGGGGUGAUAGCGGUGCAAUUCUUUCUUUCUUCGUCUUCCUACAUUUUAACUCAAAGUGGGGCUGAGGUGAAUUCUUACAACAAAGGGUGAAAAGAGAACUUCCCAGCCUACGUUUUCAGAUAUGAUCCAACUACUAAGCAGAUCAAGUAUUCUAUACCCAAUGCACCGAUCCAAAAGAGCGAAGCAGCGUAUGUGGCAUAACAAAUAUAAUUGACAAUUUUAUGCUAUAUCAUAUUUGAAAUCUUUUCUAAACACAAACAGAUUAAAGAUGGUUUGGCUAAAAUUCUCUUUCCUUAGGAGGAUUUAUUUCGGGAAGAUCAAUCCAUGAUAAUAAAUUGUUUCAUUUCUAAGACAACAAGGAAGCAGACUCUGCUCAUCCCUUGGCUUCUCGGAUAUUUAGAUUCAUUGUUCUUCGACUAACCCAAAAUAUCGACCAGAUUUUUGUUCUUUUUCAGUGAAAGAGUACUCAUUAGAUUGAAAUUGGACUAUACACCAACAAAUUCCAGGAAGGUAAUUUCAUGUGAAGUUUUGUAGCAUUAUUAGCAACUGAAAUAGGAAGCUAACACAUCUGAGAGAUAUAUACCUGUAUAACUUCGAAAGGAGGAACUCUGAGUCUAAGGCCACUAUUACAAUCUGAAGCACAAAUCGCGGUCGCUGUCCGAGAAUCCGGAGGACAGGUGGACUUCAUUUACUAAAAGCUACAAAGAAAGGAAACUCUUUUGGCGAAGAAACAAAUGGUAUCGCUCAAGGCAAAAAGGACUUUGGCAGGAUGAAAAGUCAUUCAAGGGCCUCAAUCAUUGACCUGUCGCUGCUGAUUCUGAACGUUUUGAUCUUUAGUUGAUGCUAUAAAGAAAUUAUGCAACCGAUUUCUUCGUUAGGUGGGGAAAACUUAGGAGCAAAUUUGGCUUCGGCAAGAGAGGUAUAUAGCUCUAUUUUUGUCGGUUUCUGAACGACCAUAUUAGGUAGGCAGAUUCCUUCCGGAACGUGGGAAGAAGGUUUAUCAUGUAGACAACGCAACAAAUUUGACACGGUUCCAUUAAAUAAUAAGAUUCUGCCGAUUUGGUUUGUGCACAUUUGCUUUAUUGAAAGUUGAGGUUGAGAUAAAACAAAUAGCAUAGAGACUAACCUAACCGAAUAAAAAAUGGAUGUGCCAGCUUGUUUGGUUUCAACAACCGAGUUGAUCCCGCAAGUCCCGCUGAUUUUUCUGGAUACACGGCAAGUUGGUGAUAGUGAUGAGGGGCCGCUCUGGUUGAAGUAAUCUGAUGUAUUUGUUGAGAUCAACAACAUUCUUGAAGGAAGAAGAAUCAAGAGCCUCCAGU